rnacentral:rRNA from 1 species
GUGCCAGCAGCCGCGGUAAUACGGAGGGUGCAAGCGUUAUCCGGAUUUACUGGGUUUAAAGGGUGCGUAGGCGGGCCUUUAAGUCAGUGGUGAAAUCUCCCCGCUCAACGGGGAAACUGCCAUUGAUACUAUUGGUCUUGAAUUUAGUUGAGGUGGGCGGAAUGUGUCGUGUAGCGGUGAAAUGCUUAGAUAUGACACAGAACACCGAUUGCGAAGGCAGCUCGCUAAACUAAUAUUGACGCUGAGGCACGAAAGCGUGGGGAUCAAACAGGAUUAGAAACCCCUGUAGUCC